AUUGCAGAAUUCAGUGAAUCAUCGAAUCUUUGAACGCACCUUGCGCUCCUUGGUAUUCCGAGGAGCAUGCCUGUUUGAGUGUCAUUAAAUUCUCAAUCCUUUCUGGGUUUACUCUCAGUUGGGCUUGGAUAUGGGGGUUUUGCCGGCUUUGUAAAACAAACAAAGUCAGCUCUCCUGAAAGACAUUAGCAAGACUCUUGUUGCAACCUUCUAUCUGGUGUGAUAAUUAUCUACAUCAUAGAUUUGUACACUAUGUCUAGCUUCUAACAGUCCAUUAAAUUGGACAAAACUCUGACAAUUUGACCUCAAAUCAGGUAGGACUACCCGCUGAACUUAAGCAUAUCAAUAAGCGGAGGAAAAGAAACUAACAAGGAUUCCCCUAGUAACUGCGAGUGAAGCGGGAAAAGCUCAAAUUUAAAAUCUGGCAGUCUCUG
rnacentral:rRNA from 1 species